AAUUUCUCCCUGGUUGGUAAGGGAGGAGGACUGGCUCCUGACUGGAAAGGUAGUACCUUGGACAGAGCAGUGCUAGGGAAGGACAGAAGGAGUUGGGGAGCUUUGGCUAAGGAAAACCCCAGGCUUCAGGCCUUGCUACAAAGGGCUGAGUAGGUACACAGGACUGAAGGGGAAGUAGCCUAGGGACAAUAGGUUGAUAAGGGGAGAGAAAGCGGGCAGAGAGGCUGCUGGUAGAGGGUCCUGGGUCAGGACCUAGAAUAGCAGGUGGGCCUAGGUUCCCCCUGCCUUUCUCUUGUACUACACCUGGCUGAGGAGGAGGGUGGCCUGAUAAGGCUGUGGCUAGCACCUGCGACAAAGGGGUUAGACUUUGAGGCUAAAGUCGGCCACUACAGCUCGUGUAGAUUGAAGACUGCUGAUAACUCCAAACCCCUGGAAGGGGGUGAGACAGGAGCAGUGGGCACUGCCAGAGGGCAGCAUCCUGAAGAGGAUGAUGCAGUGUGGGGAGCAAUGCAGGUUCCCAAAGCAGCAGAGUAGACAAAGGGCAAGGCACCAUGUGCAAAAGAUGCUCCCUGACUGGACAGAGCUAAUUCCUGGAGCAACCAGCUGGAGGUGCCAAUGGUGUCUCUGGAAACAGAAAGAGCCAGCAACCUGACCAGACAGCUCUUCAGAGACUGCUAGCAACUGCUCUGUGGACCACAGUAGCAUCUGCCCUUGCUUUGGCAGUGCAAAUCCACAAUGCCAGCUGAAGGUCCAGGAAAAGACUGCAGAUAGAAGAGGGCAGCCAAAGGCAGAAGCAGGGAGAGAGAGAUGCACA